AUGUACCAACCUGUCAAUGACUACCAUGUGUUGGCCUAUGACAUGGACAAGAGUACUCUCACUGUGUUCGAGCGGCCGAAUGGAGGAAAUGCCCGUCUAAUGAAGGUUGAUGGUGGUGGACGACUCGGCCUUGCUGCCGUGGAGGACCUCACAUUGCGUAUGUGGGCUCGGGGAGCCUAUAGUGGUUGGGUACUACGCACCUCGGUUGAUCUGGGAGAGGCCAUUGCAUGCUUGUCAAAGGUCACAUUGCCUAAGGUAGACUCUAGCUUCCUGGUGAUGCCACAGGUGAAGAUCAUCGGGAGCGCUGAGGAAGGAGACGCACUAUUUUUGUGGACCAUGGUCGGUAUAUUCAUUCUAUGUCCUAAAACUAUGGAGUUCAAGAAGGUGCAUGAGGCCGUUAAGGGCAUGGAGAUUGUGUACCCAUAUACUGCCUUCCCCACUCCUGCGAGCUGGUAA
rnacentral:rRNA from 1 species